rnacentral:pre_miRNA from 1 species
AACUUUUUGAAUCCGUAUAGUGAUUUCGUCAGACACCAACCCAUUAUGGCUGACCAAACUCCCAAGAUAAGUGAAGUA